rnacentral:tRNA from 1 species
CCCCCGUGUUUUCGCGGGAAUCCCGUUGGUUUCCUAAACCGGUGGUCGUUGGUUCGAAUCCAACCGGGGGUA